UACGGAGGAUCCAAGCGUUAUCCGGAAUUACUGGGCGUAAAGAGUUGCGUAGGUGGCAUAGUAAGUAGUCAGUGAAAGCGUGGGGCUCAACCCCAUACACAUUGACUAAACUGCUAAGCUUGAGGACGAGAGAGGCAUCUGGAAUUCCUAGUGUAGGAGUGAAAUCCGUAGAUAUUAGGAGGAACACCGAUGGCGUAGGCAGGGUGCUGGCUCGUUCCUGACACUAAGGCACGAAAGCGUGGGUAGCAAACGGG
rnacentral:rRNA from 1 species